ACAUCUUUAGCUGAAUUGGAAAAGCGUUUGCCUUCGAAGCAUUUAUAAUAUUGGUUCAAAUCCAAUAGGAUGUA
rnacentral:tRNA from 1 species